GGGGCUGACCGGUUUUGACAGCAAGGAUAAUGGUUAUGUAAGCAUGCAGGCUCACGCGUCAGGCAGCCUUGACAACGGACGCAAACAAUAACAGGCGAAAACAACUACGCUCUUGCUGCCUAACCGAAGCACAGUAGGUUACGCUUAAUCCGCGCCAAGGUGCGCGGACAAGACAUCUCCCGCCGACCCCGCCCGUCGGUCUGCGAUUCGGAGGUGCUCGUGAGAACGGGAUAGCCAGUCGAAAAGCCUCGAUAGACUGGUGAAGUUUUCAGAGGAUAAGGAAUACUUCGGGUGCCGUUGCCCUGGGUCUUCACGAAAAUCAAUCAGCGAAUAAGCAUGUAGAAAGCAUCUCUGUUACUUGUUUGGACGGCGGUUCGACUCCGCCCAGCUCCACCA
rnacentral:tmRNA from 1 species